rnacentral:rRNA from 1 species
AUGUCACUGACUGAAUCGGUGUGGCCAUUCUUGCUAAAAAGAAGACAAUAUCCUAUAUCGGUGUGCUUUGGUAUGACAAUCAACAAGAGUCAAGGGCAAUCUCUAAACAAAGUAGGACUAUAUCUGUGAAAACAAGUUUACAUGCACGGACAACUAUAUGUGGCUAUCCCAAGAGUCACACAAAGAGAUGGUCUACGGAUAAUUGUAGAUGAUGAAGAAACCAACAAAGAUGGUAUGAUCAAGAACAUAGUGUACAAAGAUUUUUUUUGA